rnacentral:rRNA from 1 species
AUGAGAGGUAAUCUUGGAGCAAGACCGCCACAACAACAUGUUGUUCAACGUGCUUCAAGAAGGCCAAUUUAUGUUGAAGCUUCUGAAGGUGAAGAAUAUGAUGAUGCCCUUGAAGAGCCAAAUCUCUACGCAUAUCAGAGAGCACCCAACCCUACACAUGCAAGAGAUACAUACAAGGUGAAAGCUGAGAUCCCAAGUUUUAAUGGAAAUGUUGACAUUGAAGGGUGCCGGAUUGGUUAUAUGAAGUGGAGACUUUCUUUGAGGUCAUGGAGGUUUCGGACGAUCAUAGAGUUCCUUGGUCGCAUGCAAGCUGAAAGGAGGAGCCGGUGCAUGGUGGCAUCGCGUUCAAAAGGAGUGCAGGCUGAGAGGAGAACCUCGUGUUAG